UUUCAUCUGGAAUUGAGUUUUUAUAGUUAAGUUAUAAAAAUUUAAUAUAUGCUUCUGUAAUUACAUUUAUCAUAUUCCGAAGGGUUAUAGCAAAAAUACAGCUUCUGUACAAGUAACUGGGGUGACAUUUCACUACAUCUUCAAUAUAAAAAUUUGGUUUACAAUAUGGUUUUGUAUAGUGAAUAAACCAAACAUUUACUUACUCCUUUCUUUAAAAACAUUUAAUGUAUUAUUCACAGUUACCUCUAGCAAAUUUUCUGCAUGCAUAUUUCCUUUUCUGGUUAAUUUCAUGUGGUUUAGUCAUGCUUUUAAUGGCCUUUAGAAGGUCCCUUAGAGUUCUUUAGAUAACAAACAAGUAACAAUCCCUAUGAAAACAUCAGAGGCUAACAUUUCCAUUUCUCAGACCUUAACAGCAGGAAGCUUAUGAGUGUAACAGCCAGACAGGGUCAGGUUUGCAAUAUUGUCUUGUCCUUAGCAUUUGUAUUUUUCAGGAAAAGGCUGCAAUUAACUGUGCUCCUGUGAAAAUAUUGUAGUUUCUUUGCCGUAGCUUGUGCUGUCUGAAGACUGUGAAUAUGAAUAGAGAAAACCAGAAUGCACUGAACGCAAUUAAACUCAGAAACAACAUUAUCUUCAAUUCAGAGUUCUGUAUCAUAUAUAAUGGUACAGCAAUAUAUAUAUAGCAUGACUAUACAGAGGUUAAAUUGUAUGUUUGCUUUGCAAGCCAGAUAAGUUCACUUUCUUAAACUUAAAAAUAAGCCAUAUAUCUUUUCAAUAAAUCUGCUAACACUACAGAGCAGCUGUUAUACAAGGAGAGCUAUAACAGGAUUGCUAGAACAAUCCAUGAGCAGAACUGAUGUUCUGAAGAUCUGGGAAGAAUUUGUUUCAGCUUAUAUUUAGUACAUUCUUGAUUUUACUAAAAUGCAAUAAAGUUUUAAAAAUGUUAUUAUUCUGAGCCUAAACCAAGAUUAGAUUAUUUUAUCACCUCUUGCUAAGUAAUACUGCUUUCAGUAACACUAAAUUAAUAAACUUCAAUUACAAAAUACCUUUACCCUUCUUAAAUAGCAAGAUAAGGACAUACAGUUUGUUUAAUUUGGACAAUAUUUCUAUAAAUUGCAUGUCUUCUAUGUUUCACGAAAUGCAUGCUACAAGAUAUUGACUAUAUUAGACCUUUAUUUAAUACACAAUUUAGAGCAUUGCUUAGAGAAAAUAGCAUUUAUAUUUUCUUUCUUAAAAUAUUUCACUAUUGAAUAUUAACAUUUCCUUUUAUUCCAGCUCAAUUUGUAAUCUAAUAAUGGCUAAUUGUUAUGUGCUAAACACUAGUUACUCUUUUACGCUUUAUUAAUAGAGGAGCAUAUUAAAAUAGCAUUAUCUUAAGCAAAUCUACAGGCAUUUAUUUUUAGAGUAAGUUAUUUUUGUUUUCUUUUAUUUUUCCAUUUUUUUUUUAAGUUUCUUCUUGGGAAAGUAAGGCUUUUGCCAUGUACAAUACUAUUUUGCAUGUAUUCAUUUAAAUACUAAAAACUGUAGUACUGCUCGAUCCAUAUCUGACUGCUAGGUUUCAAUUGACAGCUGAGGAUUUGUGACUGGACCAUGAAUCAAAACGGCAGGCAUUUAUACCCCAGUGCCAGUGAGGAUACAUUGGGAAUUACUUGGCAAAGGUAGCUCCUGGAGUGCUACCUGCCAGUUUGGCCCUACCAGUGGACACAAGUUCUGCCAGGUGAGCUUGGGCACAAAUUGGUGCUUGCAUGGGCACCUCUUGAUGUGCCUGGGCCAUGCUUAUUUGGCCUAGAAUUAAGCACAGCCUUGGAGGACAAAGAAACUUCCUGUAGUUCUCCCUAAGCUUUAGGAUCUGGGCUUUGGAAUACAGAAUUCUUGAAAUCCCCAUGUAAGAACAGAAAUGAUAUCUGAGCAGAACAAGGGGCAGUGAUCCUUUCUAACACUAAAACUAGUAAGCACCGCCCAAAAAAAAAAAAAAAAAAAAUGGAAAAAAAAAAAGAAUUGCAAAAGGAAUUGCUGCUCACUGUCAAAGAGAGAGCAGCAAUUUGACUGUCCAUACAGUCAAAUUUUCCCCCACAAAAUAGUUUGACAAAUGUUUGAUUAUGUGAAUUUGUCAAAUCUGCAGUACUUUUUUGAUGGUACUCAGUCUGACCUUUUAUAGCAGUCUUUUCACAUUAUUUUAAGUAUAAUGGUUUUCAGAAAUGUCAUUGACCUCAAGAAAGUCAAAUUUUGGCAGUGAAUUAACAUUCACUGUUGUGAAUUAACAUUCCAAAUGUUAGUUGUCUUGUCUGUACAGGAAUCAGGUAAGGGAAGAGACCAAGCUGAAAUUUUUGUCGUGGUACAUUGUUGGUGACCAGCAUUUUUGAACUUAGGGAAGAUGGCAGAAGAUGAGAAAACCUCUGUUUUUUUAGUGUUCCUUGUCUCAUUAGUAGCUGCCUUUCACAUGACAGUAAAUAUGAUACAUAGACUUCAAAAUAAAUUUGCUGUGAUUUUCCUUCCCUGUAAAAUUACGUUAGUAUCUAUGUCCCAGACAUAAGACAUGUCUUAUUGAUACAUAGAAGACUGAAAUUUGCCAACAAAGAAUAUGAGUAAUACGAGAUUAAAAAAAUAAAAAAUAAA